UGCUCUACAGCAGCAACUCUUGUCGCAAAGGCAAACUGAAGUACAAGGCUUGAUUUGGUGGCAUUUAUUAACAGAUAUGAAGAAUUCCAGUUAAACUACGAAGAAAAAAUUAAAGACCGUGCGAUUCUUUGCGAAACGCUGAACAACAAAAAAAAAAAUCAUGAAAAACUGGCUGGCGAGUUUCUCGCUAAGUAUUAUGAAUUUUUUGGUUACAGGAAGGAUAACUCUCUUCCCUGCAGUGUAGCAGUAGA